rnacentral:lncRNA from 1 species
CCACCCUCCUGUUCAUGGGAGAAUCCUAUUGGUCACCCAGACUCACAGCUGUGCAUUCGAUCCAUGCUCAUCACCGAGGCUAACCCAGUCCUUGAUUCCAAUCAUGAAUGGACAAACGUUUUCCAGAUAUUUAAGGAAAGUGAGGAAGAUGCACAAAUAGAACUAAUUCUGGAGGAGGGAAAAAGAGGAUAUAAUACAGGAAACAGAAAAAAACGUUACCAGAACAUACUCUCAGAGUUUAAGAAAGACAAGAGGUUUAUAAAAUGAGAACAAGCUGUCAUAGAGGGGAAUAAUCAGGGGGCAGACGAAAAAGUCCUUGGACACUAGAAAAGUUACUGCAGAAUUGACAUCACGCAGUGGACUGACAGUGCCUAGUUCCCUGGGCUGCCCACGGAACUCAGUGUGCCCCCCCUCGCCACCACCACCAUCCACCCGACGGCGCGCGCCCCUCCACCCAUACGGGUCCCCACAGCCCACUUCCGGUCCCUUCGCAGACCCUGUGGCAACCACCACCGCCUGGUCCCGAGGACCCUGCCCUCCACUGGUCGCCUCCGUCGUCCACCAUGUUGUGCUCAGAGGCACCCGCCGCGGCCGCCACUGCCGAUGCCGAUGCCGCCGCCCGCUUCGGGACCCUAGCGACCACACCGCUUUACCCUGCCUGCUCCUCGCGCCCGCACUGCCCGCCCUGGGCCCGCUGUCGCAGGUGCACCAGAACAACCAUCUCAGCUGCGAGGUCGCCAUCAACAUCAAGGUCACCCUGGAGCUCCACGCCUCCUAUGUGUACCUGUCCAUGGCCUUCUUCUUCGACCGGGACGACGUGGCCCUGGAGAGCUUCAGCCGCUAUUUCUUGCACCAGUGGCACGAGAAGAGGGAGCACGCCCAGGAGCUGAUGAGCCUGCAGAACCUGCGCGGUGGCCGCAUCUACCUUCGCGACAUCAGGAAGCCAGAGUGCCAAGGCUGGGAGAGCGGGCUCCAGGCCAUGGACUGCGCCUUCUACCUGGAGAAGAACGUCAACCAGAGCCUCCUGGAGCUGCACCAGCUGGCCAAGGAGAACGACGACCCCACCUCUGUGACUUCCUGGAGAACCACUUCCUGAACCAGCAGGCCAAGACCAUCAAAGAGAUUGGUGGCUACCUGAGCAACCUGUGCAAGAUGGGGGCCCCGGAAGCAGGCCUGGCAGAGUACCUCUUUAACAAGCUCACCCUGGGCCGCAGCCAGAAACACACCAGAGCCCAGACAGGUCCCGCAGCCACGGGGUGCCUUCCCCUGCUCGCGCCACCACGCGGGGCGUCCAUGUUGUCCUUUCAGAACAUUCUCUUCAGUUUUCUCCUCUCAGUUUUACUGUUGUUGGCAAUAAAGUUAUCUGUUCUCAAAGCAAUAAAGGUGUCCAGCUGAUGCAUAUCUGCAACACUCUCACCUUUUAGGAAUCAGGGCACAUCCCCAUGCAGGUUUAAAGUAGGUAUCCAGCAGUCUUUCCAUUCAGCCCUGCCCCAUCUGCAUGCAGCUCAGGAUCUGCGGGGGUGGAGGGGAAAGGUAUUUUAUGGGCCGCUGGAAAAUACAUUAGUCUUCCCCUUAUAAACUUUGAGGGCAUGUGGGAUUGGAUGGGGUGAGGUGGGGUGG